GCGCAACCCUUGCCCUAUGUUGCCAGCGCGUUGUGGUGGGGACUCGUGGGGGACUGCCGGGGUUAACUCGGAGGAAGGUGGGGAUGACGUCAAAUCAUCAUGCCCCUUAUGUCUUGGGCUUCACGCAUGCUACAAUGGCUGGUACAGAGGGUUGCGAUGUUGUAAGGCGGAGCGAAUCCCUUAAAGCCGGUCUCAGUUCGGAUUGGGGUCUGCAACUCGACCCCAUGAAGGUGGAGUCGCUAGUAAUCGCAGAUCAGCAACGCUGCGGUGAAUACGUUCUCGGGCCUUGUACACACCGCCCGUCACGUCACGAAAGUUGGUAACACCCGAAGCUYAUGGCCU
rnacentral:rRNA from 1 species